rfam:Camelus ferus unplaced genomic scaffold scaffold1852, whole genome shotgun sequence.
GUGGGUAGAGCUCAGUGGUAGAACACAUGCUUAGCAGGCAUGAGGUCCUGGGUUCAAUCCCCAGCACCUCCA